CCCUUAGAUGUUCUGGGCCGCACGUGUGCUACACUGAGUGGAUCAGCGGGUCAGGUUGCGCGAAAGUGUUUCCUAAUCUUGAAAUCCGCUCGUGAUGGGGAUUGACGGUUGCAAUUUUCCGUCAUGAACGAGGAAUACCUUGUAAGCGCGGGUCAUCAUCCCGCGCUGAAUACGUCCCUGCCCUUUGUACACACCGCCCGUCGCUCCUACCGAUUGAGUGGUCCGGUGAGGCUUUGGGAUCUGAGCAAAGAGAGCGUUUCGCUCGUUUUGCCCGGAAAACUCAGUCGAACCUUAUCAUUUAGAGGAAGGAGAAGUCGUAACA
rnacentral:rRNA from 1 species